CCAAAAAGAGGUGAAUUUUUGUUAAUAAUUUUAUUGGGCUCCCCUUCUUCUGUAAGUUUAAAUCUAGCUAAAAAUAUAGACUCUAUUUAAUGUAUAUGAAACCUUAGGAUUAAUUACAGACCUUUCAGUACAAGAAAUUUUGUAACCGGCCAACCUCGCCAAAGUAAAUAAAUGAUCUAUUAGGUGCCAGCAUUCGCGGUUACACCUAUAUUUGGUAUAUAUUUCAUGGUACAGGGCUAUUUAACUAAAUUUAAAGACUCUCGAAGUAAAAUUCUGCCUGUCUUUUCUUAUAGACCAAACCUUAAAAAUUAAACAAUAAACAGGGAUUAGAUACCCCUCUAUAUAAAAUAAAUAUUCACCCAGGGUAGUAAAUGCUACACAACCCCAAACCCAAAGAUUUUGGCGGCAAUCAACCUUUCCAGAGAGGCCUGUUUAUUAAUUUGACAAUCCCCACUAUAUCUUACUUUUAUUAAAGCUUGCAUACCGUCAUCUAAAUUUUAUCUUAAGGUAAAUAUUUUUAAGAAAACAGAAAUGUUAGAUCAACGCGCAGUUCAUAUAAAAGCUUCUAAUGGGCCUCAAUUUAGAUUAAAUGGAGAAAACUUUAAUAACCUUUAGAAAGAGGAUUUGGAUGUAAUAGACUUUUAAAAUAAUAAUAUGAUUAAGCCAUUGAUUGUGUACAUAUCGCCCGUCGCCCUCGACCCGAGGUAAGUCGUAACAUAGUAGAAGUACUAGAAAGUGUUUCUUUAUUUACUUACUUCAGUUACAUACUACCUUAUGCAUGUUUAUGCCCUC
rnacentral:rRNA from 1 species